rnacentral:rRNA from 1 species
CAGUCGCCGCGGGAAAACGUAGGUGGCAAGCGUUGUCCGGAAUUAUUGGGCGUAAAGGGCUCGCAGGCGGUUUCUUAAGUCUGAUGUGAAAGCCCCCGGCCCAACCGGGGAGGGUCAUUGGAAACUGGGAAACUUGAGUGCAGAAGAGGAGAGUGGAAUCCCACGUGUAGCGGUGAAAUGCGUAGAGAUGUGGAGGAACACCAGUGGCGAAGGUGACUCCCUGGUCUGUAACUGACGCUGAGGAGCGAAAGCGUGGGGAGCGAACAGGAUUAGAUACCCCAGUAGUCCCUGUCUCUUAUAA